rnacentral:siRNA from 1 species
UACUCCGCCGGGCAUCUGUUCGAA